CCCUGUAAUUGGAAUGAGUACACUUUAAAUCCUUUAACAAGGACCUAUUGGAGGGCAAGUCUGGUGCCAGCAGCCGCGGUAACUCCAGCUCCAAUAGCGUAUAUUAAAGUUGUUGCGGUUAAAACGUUCGUAGUUGAACUUGUGCUUCAUGCGGGUAGUACAACUAUAAUUGUAGCCUGUACUGUACCUUAUGUAUGUAAGCGUAUUACCGGUGGAGUUCUUAUAUGUGUUAAGUACUUGUAUUUUUCACAUGUUCCUCCUAUUUAAACCUGCUUCAGUGCUCUUCAUCGAGUGUUGUUGUGGGCCGGUACAAUUACUUUGAACAAAUUAGAGUGCUUAAAGCAGGCUCCAAAUGCCUGAAUAUUUUGUGCAUGGAAUAAUGAAAUAAGACCUCUGUUCUACUUUCAUUGGUUUUUAGAUCAAGAGGUAAUGAUUAAUAGAAGCAGUUUGGGGGCAUUAGUAUUACGACGCGAGAGGUGAAAUUCUUGGACCGUCGUAAGACUAACUUAAGCGAAAGCAUUUGCCAAAGAUGUUUUCAUUAAUCAAGAACGAAAGUUAGAGGUUCGAAGGCGAUCAGAUACCGCCCUAGUUCUAACCAUAAACGAUGCCAGCUAGCAAUUGGGUGUAGCUACUUUCAUGGCUCUCUCAGUCGCUUCCCGGGAAACCAAAGCUUUUGGGCUCCGGGGGAAGUAUGGUUGCAAAGCUGAAACUUAAAGGAAUUGACGGAAGGGCACCACCAGGAGUGGAGCCUGCGGCUUAAUUU
rnacentral:rRNA from 1 species